rnacentral:lncRNA from 1 species
CCGGGAAGCGGAGAGAAGCCGCCAAACCCGGGAGGCGCGACCCUCCCCUCGCACACCGGCCGGGGCGGGGGAGCUGCGGGAGUCUUCAUUAAAACCGCAACCCGGAGCCCGGCCCGCGGCGCGCACAGCCCGGCUGCAGGCGGCCUCCCGCGCACCGGGGCCCGCGCCGGCUCCAGCCGCCCGCGGCCGACCUCGCGCGUCCUCAAAGCCAGCCUGUCCCACUUCCCCCGCCGGUUGCUACAGCAACUGAGCUCUGAGUCGCUCCCAUCCUCUACCUCCACUUGGAGAGGUGAGGGGACUAAGAGAAAGUCAAGUCCCAGGCUGCUCUGGGGCUCACCAGCGGCCCUGACCUCCCCAUUCCCCAGAUGGUGCAACCGAGGGGAUGGUGGGGAGGCUGGACCGCAGUCUGUGGACUCAAGGCUUGGCCCUUCCCCCAGCUGUGACUAGGAGAUGACUGGAAGAAAAGACCUGGGUGCACUCAGCUCUCCCCGUGCCUGACCCUCCGCCUCAGUUCCUCAGGUUGUAAAGCAUGGGUCCCCAGGGCAUAGAACACCUGGUCAGCACCAGGUAUGGACUGGAAAUUCUUUUAGCAUAGCAGAAGCAGGGGGAGGAGGAUGUGAGGGCCAGAGCUGGAGAUGUGGGGAAGGGGCUGACAACAGAGGAAGCCUCUGUAGAAGGCUGGGGCAGCCAGGGGACUGGGGAUGGUAGGACCUGGCUUGGCCAAUUUCCAGCCAAACCUUUCCUAGUACCUCACUUCUACUCCAGUGCCUAGGAUGGGUGCCAGCACCAGGCCUAUCACUCACUGGCCCUGGGGACCCACCAGCCUGGUUUACCAGACAAGCCAGUCCCCAAGUCACAGCCGAGUCCACAGAGUGAAGGAGGGAAGACAGAUGGAGGAGGUGCCAUUUUAACCAGAGUCUGUGGCAGUUGAGGAAAGAGAGAAAGGUAUGUAGGACUGAGGGUCUGGGAACUUGCAUUGCUGCCACCCUUGCCCUUCAGUCCCCACCCCCUCCACCGGGUACCUCUCCUAAGCUCAGGUCCAAAAGGG